GAUGAACGCUGGCGGCGUGCCUAAUACAUGCAAGUCGAGCGAACGGACGAGAAGCUUGCUUCUCUGAUGUUAGCGGCGGACGGGCGAGUAACACGUGGAUAACCCACCUAUAAGACUGGGAUAAUUUCGGGAAACCGGAGCUACUACCGGAUAAUAUUUUGAACCGCAUGGUUCAAAAGUGAAAGACGGUCUUGCUGUCACUUAUAGAUGGAUCCGCGCUGCAUUAGCUAGUUGGUAAGGUAACGGCUUACCAAGGCAACGAUGCAUAGCCGACCUGAGAGGGUGAUCGGCCACACUGGAACUGAGACACGGUCCAGACUCCUACGGGAGGCAGCAGUAGGGAAUCCUCCACAAUGGGCGAAAGCCUGACGGAGCAACGCCGCGUGAGUGAUGAAGGUCUUCGGAUCGUAAAACUCUGUUAUUAGGGAAGAACAUAUGUGUAAGUAACUGUGCACAUCUUGACGGUACCUAAUCAGAAAGCCACGGCUAACUACGUG
rnacentral:rRNA from 1 species